GCAGCCCCGGGAUAUCGGCUUACAUUUGGCCAACAGAGUCUCCUGCAACUGACGUUUCAACUUUCCGUUUUGGCCAGACAGACACUUGUGAACAGCUGUCACUCCAAUAAGAACAAAAAAUAAAAUAAAACACAACAAAACCAAAAUAAAACUCCAAAAACAAAAUCUCCCACAAGCCUUCAACUUCAACAGAAGCCCGAAAUUCAAUGAGAAAUAAAAAAUCGACACGACUAAAAAACUGAGAACUGAAAAACUGAAAACUGAACAGUGAAAAAACGGUAGCAAUAACAAUUCGCCAAACAAAUGUAAAUAAACAAUAAUGCGAGGGGGCUAC
ensembl:ncRNA lncRNA:CR44353 long non-coding RNA:CR44353